UUUAUAAUUUUUUUUUUUUUUUUAUAUUUCAUUUUUCUUUUACUUAUAUAAAGAUAGAAAAAAACGAAAAAAACAAAAAUUUAUGAAAAUUGUAUUAUUUUAAUCUUUUACUUUAUUAUUAUAUUAUUGUUAUGUAUAUAUAAUAAUAUAAGUAGCAAAAAUAAAGGAUGGGAAGAAUCCUUUUAAUAUUUUGUUUAUUUGUUUCUUCUUUUUUGUUUUAAUUCUUUUAAAAUUUAUGAAAGAGAAGAUGUAAUAUAUGUAUAAAUUAAAUGUAUAUAAUAUUUAUAUAAGAAUUAUCCACAUUAAACUUUAUUUCUUUCUUUCUUUUUUUUUUUUUUCUUUUUUUUUUAUUGUUAUAUUGGAAAUUUAUACGGUGCGUAGUAUAUUAAAUUGUAUGUGUACAACAUGAAAUUCAUUGUAUUAUAUAUAUAUAUGAAUAUAAUUUAAAUAUAUAAAAUAUUAUUAUUAUAUAUAUGAAGUGAAAAAAAAAAAAAAAAAAAUACAUAUGGAAACAGAAAAUAAAUAAAUUGUAAUAAAUUGUUAAUAUAUAUAUAUAUAUAUAUAUAUAUAUAUAUGUAUGUAUUUAUAUAAUAUUUCUGUAAUUUCUUUUUGGAUUAAAAGAAAUGAGAAAAUUACAAAUGCAUAAAUUUUUACAAAUAAAUAUAUAGAAAGUGUAAAGCUUAUUUAUAUCAUAUAAUUUUAAGUAACAUAUAUAUAUAUAUAUAUAUAUAUAUAUAUAUUUACUUUUUAAAAUAAAUAAAUGUAGAAAAUAUGUCUAAUAUAACAUCAUUUAUUUGUCUAUAAAUUUUUGAAAUAUUUAUCCUUUAUAUAUAUAUAUAUAUAUAUAUGUAUAUGUAUUUAAUUUAUUUAUUUAUUUUAUUUUUUUAAGGAGAAUUAAUAAGUAUGUACCUUUUAUAAAAUGCAUAUAAUAAAGAGAAAAAAAUUUACUUGUACAAAAUGGAAAACAUUAAAUUGUAAAAGGUUUUUUUUUUUUUUUUUUUAAUUUUUUCAUAUUUUAUUAAAUUGAAAAAAAAAAAAAGGAAAGGAAAAAAUAUACAUUGUUUAUAGAAACUAAGAAAAGAGGAAUCUCCUUUAAAAAUAUAAAUAAGUAGUAAGAAUUAUAAAUAUAAUGUCAUGUUAAUAUAUAUAUAUAUAUAUAUAUAUAUGUAAAUUGUUAUAUAUUCCUAUAUAUUAGUCAUUUUACCUCUUUUCUUUUCUGUGCACUUACAUUAUAAUAUAAAGAAAAAAGAAAAAAAAAGAGGAAACAAAAAAAUUAUAUAACUAAAUAAUUUUUAUAAAAAUAUAAGUAAUAUAUAUAUAUAUGUUCAUAAACCGGAUAACAACAUUUAAAUAUGCACCUUGACUUGUUGGUUUAUAUAAAUUUCGUUAUUUAUUUAUUUAUUUAUUUAUUUAUUUAUUUUAUUUUUUUUUUUUUGCGUAACCAUAUUUAGAAUAUGAGUAUUGUGUGUGUCUAUAUAGAUCAUUUUAUUAAAUGAUAUAUAAUUUUAAAAUAUUUUAUCAUAAAAAGAUUAUACCUCUAUUAAAAAAGACAAAAGAAUAUUUACAAAUAAAUAUAUAUACAUAUGUAUUUAUAUAUAUAUAUAUAUAUAUAUAUAUAUAUAUAUUUUUUUUGCUUUUCUUUCCUUUUUGGUAUAUAAUAUUUUAACAUUAUGUAGGGGGAAAAAAAAAAAAAAAAUAAUUACGUAAUAUAUAAUAUAUCAAUAUAUGUAAAAAUACUCAUUUUAUUAUUUUAAAUGUAUUUAUCUAUCUUUGUCUUAGAAAAUCAGAUUUGUUAAUAUAUUAAUAAAGUAUAUUUUGCGUCUUAUUUAUUUUAUAUUUUGUUUUUUUAUAAAGCACAAAAGAUAAUGUUCAUUCAUAUAGAAAAGACCACAUUUUUUAUGUAUAAGCAUAAAAGCAUUAUUUAUUUAAUGGUAUUAUCAUAUAUAAGGAACUUACUAUUUACACAAAAAAAAAAGAAAAAAAAAAAAAAAAAAUAUAUAUAUAUAUAUAUAUAUAUAUAAAUACAUGUUAUACAUAUUGUAUAUGUACGAAAUAAGGAAAAAUAUAAGGUACAUAAAUUUUUAUAUACAAAUUUAUUUAUGUACACAAAAAAAAAAAAAAAAAAAAAAAAAAAAAAAGAGAAAUAUAUAUAUAUAUAUAUAUAUAUAUAUAUAUAUAUAUAUAUUAAUUUCCGUAGUAUAAUAAAAGUACAGUAAAAAUAUGGUGUACGUACAAUUUAUGAAUACUACCCUUUUUUAAUUUAUAAACGAAAUAAAUAAAAAAAAAAAAUAAUAUAAAUAAAUAAUAACAUAAUAACAUACAAUGGAAAAUAUUCAUUUUUAUAUAUUUCUAUAAUUUUCCCCUAUGAAACAAACCAAAAUAUAUGUAUAUUUAUUAUAUAAAAUAAUACAUAUUCUUUUGUUCUUUUUAGAAAUAUAUAAAAUACAUAUUAUUAUCUAUAUCUUUUGUAGUACACCCUUAAUAGCUAUCAUGAAUAAAAAGAAAAAUAAAAAGAAAAAUAAAUUACUGUAUAAAAAGAUAUAUAUGUACAUAUACAAUAUAUUUUUCCUAUAUUAUUAUAUUUAAAAUAAUAUAAAUAUUAAAUGGUUCAAAUAUAUUAUGAUCCUUAAUUUUACUUUAUAUACUUUUAAAAGGAUUAAUUUAUUUAUUUAAUAAUCUUCCUUUUUAACGAGCUCACAUAAAUAUAAAUAUAUAUGUAAAUAUAUAUAUUAUGUAUGAUUAUAAAAUCUGAAAUAUUAUAUUUUAUUAUAUUUAUAAAUAUAUAAUAAUUUAAAGAAAGCACUUGUUUUUUAUAUAUUAAUAAAUAUAAAUACAUAUAUUUUUCAUAUUUUUUUAUUAUGUUUUACAAUAAUAUAUAUAUAAAAAAAAAAAAAGAAAAAUUUAUAUAUAAUUGUUAGUUUUAUAUAAUAUGCCUUAAAUUUUUUUUUUUUUACGUAUUUUUAAAUGGAACAAAAUCGUCUCAAAAGAAAAAAAAAAAAAAAAAAAAGA
rnacentral:sRNA from 1 species